rnacentral:rRNA from 1 species
GGAUAUGCCCAUUGGUCAGGCUUAACUGUCUGCACUGGUGUGACGAGUUCCUACCUUCUGAGGAAUCUCCAUGUCAUUCAGUUGGUGUGGGGGGAAAUCAGGACUGUUACUUUGAAAAAAUUAGAGUGUUUAAAGCAGGCAUCCGUCUGAAUACAUUAGCAUGGAAUAAUAAAAUAGGACGGUUUGGUUCUAUUUUGUUGGUUUCUAGGAUCACCGUA